GACGAACGCUGGCGGCGUGCUUAACACAUGCAAGUCGAGCGGUAAGGCCCUUUCGGGGGUACACGAGCGGCGAACGGGUGAGUAACACGUGGGUGACCUGCCUUUAGCUCUGGGAUAAGCCUGGGAAACCGGGUCUAAUACCGGAUAUGACUCCGCGGCGCAUGUUGUGGGGUGGAAAGCCUUGUGCGGCUGGAGAUGGGCCCGCGGCCUAUCAGCUUGUUGGUGGGGUGAUGGCCACCAAGGCGACGACGGUAGCCGGCCUGAGAGGGCGACCGGCCACACUGGGACUGAGACACGGCCCAGACUCCUACGGGAGGCAGCAGUGGGGAAUCUUGCGCAAUGGGCGAAAGCCUGACGCAGCGACGCCGCGUGAGGGAUGACGGCC
rnacentral:rRNA from 1 species